rnacentral:misc_RNA from 1 species
UCUCCGUAGGUGAACCUGCGGAGGGAUCCUUAAUGAGUGAGAGCUCACGCCCGACCUCCAACCCUUUGUGAACCCAUCUCGUUGCUUCGGGGGCGACCCUGCCGGCACUCGGUCGCCGGGCGCCCCCGAAGGUCUCCCAACACUGCAUCUUUGCGUCGGAGUUUAAAACAAAUUAAACAAAACUUUCAACAACGGAUCUCUUGGUUCUGGCAUCGAUGAAGAACGCAGC